UGAAUACGAGAUGCUACGGCGUCGAAGCAGUGUAUGUCAGACUUCCAAGAAAAGCUCGCAAUGUCAUAAAUAAAGAAUGCCUGUACCAUAACCGACACAGGUGGGUAGGUAGAGUAUACUAAGGGGCGCGAGAUAACUCUCUCUAAGGAACUCGGCAAAAUAACUCCGUAACUUCGGGAGAAGGAGUGCCUUCUUUAAGAAGGUUGCAAUAACAAGAUCCAAGCAACUGUUUAUCAAAAACACAGGUCUCCGCUAAGUCGUAAGACGAUGUAUGGGGGCUGACGCCUGCCCAGUGCCAGAAGGUUAAAGAAGUUGGUUAGCUUUUGCGAAGCUGAUGACUGAAGCCCUGGUGAACGGCGGCCGUAACAAUAACGGUCCUAAGGUAGCGAAAUUCCUUGUCGGGUAAGUUCCGACCCGCACGAAAGGCGUAAUGAUUUGGAUACUGUCUCGGAGAGGGACUCGGUGAAAUAGACUUGUCUGUGAAGAUGCGGACUACCUGCACCUGGACAGAAAGACCCUAUGAAGCUUUACUGUAACUUGAAAUUGAAAUUGGACUUUAUUUGCGCAGUAUAGGUGGAAGGCGUUGAAAGUAAUCUUGCGGGAUUAGUGGAGCCAUCAGUGAGAUACCACUCCUAUAAUGUUAGAUUUCUAACUUUGGAUCAUGAUCUGGUCAAAGAACAGUUUCAGGCGGGCAGUUUGACUGGGGCGGUCGCCUCCCAAAUGGUAACGGAGGCGUACAAAGGUUUCCUCUGAACGGGUAGAAAUCGUAUCUAGAGUGUAAAGGCAUAAGGAAGCUUGACUGUGAGACCUACAAGUCGAGCAGGGACGAAAGUCGGUCUUAGUGAUCUGACGGUGCUGAGUGGAAAGGCCGUCACUCAACGGAUAAAAGUUACUCUAAGGAUAACAGGCUGAUCUCCCCCAAGAGUUCACAUCGACGGGGAGGUUUGGCACCUCGAUGUCGGCUCAUCGCAUCCUGGGGCGGUAGUACGUCCCAAGGGUUGGGCUGUUCGCCCAUGAAAGCGGUACGCGAGCUGGGUUCAGAACGUCGUGAGACAGUUCGGUCCAUAUCCGGUGUAGGCGUUAGAAUAUUGAGAGGAGCCUUCUUUAGUACGAGAGGACCGAGAAGGACAUACCUCUGGUGUACCAGUUAUCGUGCCAACGGUAAACGCUGGGUAGCUAUGUAUGGAGAGGAUAACCGCUGAAAGCAUCUAAGUGGGAAGCCCACCUCAAGAUGAGUAUUCU
rnacentral:rRNA from 1 species